GUCUAUGGCUAUAUUACCCUAAACGUGCCCAAUCUCCUCUGAUCUCAGAAGCUAAGCAGGGUCGGGUCUGGUUAGUACUUAGAUGGGAGAGAAUAAUUUUUUUAAGCCAUUGGGU
ensembl:rRNA 5S_rRNA 5S ribosomal RNA